UACGGAGGGGGCUAGCGUUGUUCGGAAUCACUGGGCGUAAAGCGCGCGUAGGCGGACCACUAAGUCGGGGGUGAAAUCCCGGGGCUCAACCCCGGAACGGCCUUCGAUACUGGCGGUCUCGAGGUCGAGAGAGGCGAGUGGAAUUCCGAGUGUAGAGGUGAAAUUCGUAGAUAUUCGGAGGAACACCAGUGGCGAAGGCGGCUCGCUGGCUCUAUUCUGACGCUGAGGCGCGAAAGCGUGGGGAGCAAACAGG
rnacentral:rRNA from 1 species